AGCAAAAAAGCAUGGGAGGCCUCUAAAGCCAGAAAAGGCAAGAGUACAAAUAAUCCUUUACAGCCUUCAGAUAGAAUGCAGCCCUGAUGGCAGCUUGAUUUUAGCUCUUGUCAGAAUUCUGACCUGCUAAAAUGAAAAAACUUCUAGGGGAAUUGGAUGUGAAAAGUGUCCCUGGUCCUAUGAUCACAAAGAUUUGCAGCAAGGUCAAGACACAGAAGUAACAAAUGCUUCCAGCUUCAGCAAAUGGUGCCCCAUCUUCUGCAUGGGAAUACCCAUUAUUCCAAGCCUGUUUUCGGGGAAAGUGAUAGACAAUGGUGGUGCCCAGGGUGCAGGGAACAAAGGGAACUGGACAGAUGGAAAAUACGCAUUGGGGUUAUAAAAUACAAUUCUGCAGAGGUCCUUUUCCUCAGACACAACCUAGAAAAUGGCAAUGAAAAAGAUAAGGAAAAUUAAAGAGAUGAAAUCCAAGAUCAUUAGAAAGCUGUACAUACUGAUACAGACACCCAGGAACCUCAAAAUCACAGGAUACAAAGGGAGAAAAGCAGUAAUCGACCAGCUAGGACUCAGCUAAGCAGGACAGCAGAGUAAAAUGAGGCUCAAGUGCUAACUUCUGGCAGGGAAAAAAACAAACCAACCAACAAACUGAGCCUGAAACUGAUAACACAGAUACGUACAGCAUCAUAUUUAAGUAACCAAUCGGAAUUAUUGCAGUGGAGAUGUUUUAUUGGUGGGAAAUACGGUAUCACACCAUUUCAGACAUCAGGAGAUAAUUAUCCCUGUCUUCUCGGAACCAGCUUCUUCAAAGGAGUCAGGAAUUAUUUAUGAUAGAAACUACUGAAACAAUACUAAGGAGUUCAUAGGUUGCUGAGAAGGUAGCUUCCUGCCCUCUGCUUGAGGAACACGGAUGGAAGAAAGGAGAAGAUCUGGUCAACACAGCUCCUGAAAUGCUGAUUAAGCAUUAUGGGAUUUAAGGUUUCCUGGCCAAGUCUGAGCUAAAAUGUUAACACUCCUGAAGAACACCAUAAAGAAAGAAAAACAAAAACAAAAAAAUUCUCUCGUUUCUUUGCUUCUCAGUCAAUCUUCACACUAGGGUGAGGGAUAUAGGGGUCGUUCUUAUGCUAAGAAAAAGAAACACUGCAUGGUACAGAUCAUAUUUUCUUCACUAAAUUCAACUUUACUUAGCAAAAUAUUCAAGUGUCUUAGCUGAUUCAGAUGGGAUAAUUUAUAAACAGCAUAAAUAUAUUGCUCACAGUUCUUGAGGGUAGGAAGUCCAAAAUGAAGGUGCUGGCAGAUUUGCUGUUUGGUGUGGCUCUCUGCUUCAGAGAUGGCAUUUUCUAUGCG
rnacentral:lncRNA from 1 species